rnacentral:tRNA from 2 species
GCGGGUGUAGCUUAGCUUGGUCUAUAGCGCAGGACUCAUAAUCCUGAGGUCGGGGGCUCGAAUCCCCUCACCCGCA